rnacentral:rRNA from 1 species
AUGGCCGCCAUCAUGGCCUCCAUAACCAGCGAGCUCCUUUUCUUCCUCCCCUUCAUCCUCCUGGCCCUGCUCACCUUCUACACCAGCGCCGUGGCUAAAUGCCACGGCCUCCACCGGUGGAGCGGCCGGACCAAGAAGAGGCGGCCGAACCUGCCGCCCGGCGCCGUCGGCUGGCCCUUCAUCGGCGAGACCUUCGGGUACCUCCGCGCCCACCCGGCCACCUCGAUCGGCCAGUUCAUGGACCAGCACAUCGCACGGUCGGUACAUACACACACAUGCAUACAUACAUCAGUACAGGCAUGCGAGCAGGCGUGGACGAUCGAUCGGGCAUUCGGGCUGACGUCGCAUGGAUGCAGGUACGGGAAGAUAUACCGGUCGAGCCUGUUCGGGGACCGGACGGUGGUGUCGGCGGACGCGGGGCUGAACCGGUACGUCCUGCAGAACGAGGGCCGGCUGUUCGAGUGCAGCUACCCGCGGAGCAUCGGCGGCAUCCUUGGCAAAUGGUCCAUGCUGGUGCUCGUCGGCGACCCCCACCGCGAGAUGCGCUCCAUCUCCCUCAACUUCCUCAGCUCCGUCCGCCUCCGCGCCGUGCUCCUCCCGGAGGUGGAGCGCCACACCCUCCUCGUCCUCCGCGACUGGCUGCCUUCCUCCUCCUCCGCCGUCUUCUCCGCCCAGCACGAAGCCAAGAAGUUCACGUUUAACCUGAUGGCGAAGAACAUCAUGAGCAUGGACCCCGGCGAGGAGGAGACGGAGCGGCUGAGGCUCGAGUACAUCACGUUCAUGAAGGGGGUGGUGUCCGCGCCCCUCAACUUCCCCGGCACGGCCUACUGGAAGGCCCUCAAGUCGCGAGCCACCAUACUUGGAGUAAUAGAGAGGAAAAUGGAGGAGAGGCUUGAGAAAAUGAACAAGGAGGCCUCGAGCAUGGAAGAAGAUGAUCUUCUCGGGUGGGCGAUGAAGCAAUCCAAUCUUUCGAAAGAACAAAUAUUGGACCUCUUGCUGAGCCUGCUCUUUGCCGGGCAUGAGACAUCGUCAAUGGCGCUUGCCCUCGCCAUCUUCUUCCUCGAAGGUUGCCCUAAAGCCGUCGAAGAACUGCGGGAGGAGCAUCUUGAGAUUGCUAGGAGACAGAAGCUGAGAGGGGAGUGCAAGCUGAGCUGGGAAGACUACAAAGAGAUGGUUUUCACGCAAUGCGAUCCAAAAUGGUCUGAGAAGUACGUGUUGUUGGGCGUAUAUGCCAGCGUCCAUCAAGAAGCCAAGAAGGUUAUAAACGAGACCUUGCGGCUAGGCAACGUGGUCAGGUUCCUGCACCGGAAGGUCAUUCGAGAUGUGCACUACAAUGGGUAUGACAUUCCGAGCGGGUGGAAAAUUCUGCCGGUGUUAGCGGCGGUGCAUCUCGACUCGUCGCUCUACGAGGAUCCCAGCAGCUUCAACCCUUGGAGAUGGCAGGGCAACGCGUCUGGGGUGGCGCAGAACAGCAACUUCAUGCCCUACGGCGGCGGCACGAGGCUCUGCGCCGGGUCGGAGCUCGCCAAGCUCGAGAUGGCCAUCUUCCUGCACCACCUGGUGCUCAACUUCCGGUGGGAGCUCGCCGAGCCGGACCAGGCGUUCGUCUACCCGUUCGUCGACUUCCCCAAGGGGCUGCCCAUCAGGGUCCAUAGGAUUGCGCAGGAGGAGGAAGGAGAAGGGGAGUAA